UUCGUUGUGUUUAGUGUGCUUUGCUAUGAAUAUUAUUAUAUGCUGAAGCUGUUGAUUUGAGUAGUAAGGCCUACCUAUGUGCAUUUGGAAUUUUGUAUAUAGAUGACUUGGCAUGAGUUAGAUUGUGCUAGAAAUCCAAAUUGACGCUUGUGAUCGUCUAAGGGUGGCUUGUCAAAUGCCGUGUAAGAAAAUUAUAUUCGUAGUAUCCUCUGGAACAAGUUCUUGACAUUUCUUCUUGUUUUUGAUCAGGCAGCAAUGAGUACGAGAUAUUUGGUUCCUAUUUGUUGCAAGAGCGAAUUCCUUUUCGACUAUGGUGAAUGUGAAGGGAUAAGCGAAGCUAUACUUUCUGUCAACAUUUUGGAGUUCUUUACUCAAGUCUUUAUAUUCAUAAUUUUGUUUGCAAAAGCCUAUACCCAUCGACUCUCAAGAGGUAGAAAUAAUACCAUUAGCUUAAGCAUUGGACUGAAUCUGUAACCAAGCAGCUGCAAGACCAAUCGAACUGUUCUUUCUAGAACAUCUUCAUAUAAGUCGAGGCAAUCCAAGUUACCCAAUGUUGAUUCGAUGUCUUCAACACAUUAUUAUAUCCACAAAACAAAUAACAUGAAAAGCAUUGACGACAUACUAGGUGCUUAAGAAGGAUAAUUCCAUCGAAUUUAGAUAAGUUGUGGAAGUAAAUUGUUAAAGGUGAUUGUUCUUGUCUAACAAUCAUUAAUAUCCUUAAUACAAUGUCAUUAAGUACCUUAGUACUCCUAUCUUCAAAUCUAUUCAAGAUUAUUUUGUAGUCUUCACUGAAGUCAUUCAACCAAACACAAGACUUCUUCAUUCUGGGAACAAAGAGGGGGCAGCUGCUUCUUCUUCUUCUUGUCUAUUGUUUUCUUUCUUUCUUUUUUUUUUUCCUUUUCCUUUCACCUUUAUUUCUAAGAUAUUUUGGGGAAGAUUGGAAUAUGGAGAUGGUGCAUUAGCUUGGAGAAGAUGACUCAUUGAUAUUGAAGGAUUUUUAACCAUUUAUCUCUUUAUCAAUAAGUUUUUCUUUUCACUUUUUCCAUCAAUAUUUUUUAAGAAAUUGUUAGUUAUUUGUAGAUAUUUUAUGGGUAACUAAUUAUAUUUUGUGAUUGAGGAUUAUUUCAAACUCGAGUUAUAUUUUCAAUUCAUUUGUGCUUUAUAAUUCUCUUGUUUAAUGUGUUUAAUCCAUUGUAUUAAAUGUUUAUUUUGUUCUUCUUGAUUGUUUAAGUGUACAACUAAAUGUUUAAGUUGUUUCGAUAAUGCUAUUUUGGGAUUAGUAGUACGUAAUAGCUAUUGAUUAUAAAACCUAUAGCAAUUACAUUUCUAUAGAUUAUGAAGAAUUUUCAAUUGAAUGUAUGUGGAUUAACACUUAAGUUUGUAAAUCGAGCUUGCGAG
rnacentral:lncRNA from 1 species